GACGUUCAACCGCAAAACAAGCAGAGGGGGCUUAGUGGUGGGGUGACUGCGUACCUUUUGUAUAAUGGGUCAGCGACUUAUAUUCUGUAGCAAGGUUAACCGUAUAGGGGAGCCGGAGGGAAACCGAGUCUUAACCGGGCGUUAAGUUGCAGGGUAUAGACCCGAAACCCGGUGAUCUAGCCAUGGGCAGGUUGAAGGUUGGGUAACACUAACUGGAGGACCGAACCGACUAAUGUUGAAAAAUUAGCGGAUGACCUGUGGCUGGGGGUGAAAGGCCAAUCAAACCGGGAGAUAGCUGGUUCUCCCCGAAAGCUAUUUAGGUAGCGCCUCGUGAAUUCAUCUCCGGGGGUAGAGCACUGUUUCGGCUAGGGGGCCAUCCCGGCUUACCAACCCGAUGCAAACUGCGAAUACCGGAGAAUGUUAUCACGGGAGACACACGGCGGGUGCUAACGUCCGUCGUGAAGAGGGAAACAACCCAGACCGCCAGCUAAGGUCCCAAAGUCAUGGUUAAGUGGGAAACGAUGUGGGAAGGCCCAGACAGCCAGGAUGUUGGCUUAGAAGCAGCCAUCAUUUAAAGAAAGCGUAAUAGCUCACUGGUCGAGUCGGCCUGCGCGGAAGAUGUAACGGGGCUAAACCAUGCACCGAAGCUGCGGCAGCGAACGUAUCACCCAAGACAACUUUACGGAGUUGACGAUUGACGGAGCGAAGCGACGUCAAAGCGUUCAUUAAAGUCGAGUUGGCUUAGGGAUACGUUCGUUGGGUAGGGGAGCGUUCUGUAAGCCUGUGAAGGUGUGUCGUGAGGCAUGCUGGAGGUAUCAGAAGUGCGAAUGCUGACAUAAGUAACGAUAAAGCGGGUGAAAAGCCCGCUCGCCGGAAGACCAAGGGUUCCUGUCCAACGUUAAUCGGGGCAGGGUGAGUCGACCCCUAAGGCGAGGCCGAAAGGCGUAGUCGAUGGGA
rnacentral:rRNA from 1 species